rnacentral:rRNA from 1 species
AUUGAACGCUGGCGGCAUGCUUUACACAUGCAAGUCGAACGCGAAAGGGGGGCAACUCCUGAGUAGAGUGGCGCACGGGUGAGUAAUACAUCGGAACGUGUCCUGUAAUGGGGGGAUAACGCAGCGAAAGCUGUGCUAAUACCGCAUACGUCCUACGGGAGAAAGUGGGGGACCGCAAGGCCUCACGUUAUAGGAGCGGCCGAUGUCGGAUUAGCUAGUUGGUGGGGUAAAGGCUCACCAAGGCUACGAUCCGUAGCUGGUCUGAGAGGAUGAUCAGCCACACUGGGACUGAGACACGGCCCAGACUCCUACGGGAGGCAGCAGUGGGGAAUUUUGGACAAUGGGCGCAAGCCUGAUCCAGCCAUGCCGCGUGAGUGAAGAAGGCCUUCGGGUUGGUUAAAGGACUCUUUCGGUCCGGGACCGGAAAUACGCACGGGCUAACACCGCGUGUGGA